GAUGGCAUAACAUUUGCAAUAGUAGACAAACCAAGGUAUUGCAAAUGGGGUAUGUCCGGUCUUUUUUAGAAGCCACUGGGUCACAAACACUGGCCAAAGUUAUUGUUAAUAUUUGAUUGUGUGUGAAAAAUGCAAAAAAAUCUGAAUGCCAAUUUUGACCAGUGUUUGUGACUAAGUUGCUACUAAGAAAGACUCGACAUGCCCCUUUUGAAAUACCUUGGGUUGACUACUAUUGCAAAUGGUAUGCCAUC